UACGUAGGGUGCGAGCGUUAAUCGGAAUUACUGGGCGUAAAGCGUGCGCAGGCGGUUCGUUAUGUCCGUUGUGAAAGCCCCGGGCUCAACCUGGGAAUGGCAAUGGAAACUGGCGGGCUAGAGUGUGGCAGAGGGGGGUGGAAUUCCGCGUGUAGCAGUGAAAUGCGUAGAGAUGCGGAGGAACACCGAUGGCGAAGGCAGCCCCCUGGGCUAGCACUGACGCUCAGGCACGAAAGCGUGGGGAGCAAACAGG
rnacentral:rRNA from 1 species